ensembl:lncRNA
AACCUCAACCCCUGUUGAUAAAGUUGUUUACGGGUGGUUUUUGAGAUUUUAAAAUAAAUACACUUUCCCUCUUGUACAAAUACAAGAGACUCAAGAGCUUCAUCCUCAGGUCGAUUCACAAAACUGUGUCCUCAUGUUGUGUUUUUUGUGAUCUAUGUGUGACUUGGCUGCUGUGACACUGCGAUUUCCCCAAUGGGAUUAAUAAGUACUCCAUCUAUCCAUCCAUGAAAUCUCAAAUCUCCAUGUCAUGUUGCAGGUGUUAGAGAUGUCUAUCACUGCUGUUAAAGACAAGGAAGUGACUGUGCUCACCAUGGCGGCUGACAGUGGGAGCAUGUCCCCACCGCUGUUUCAAAUCCUCAAGACUCUUUGCUUCAGUCCGAUGUAUUUCUCGUUGCUGAAGCAGACCAAUGUAACAACUCUUGGGACUGUACAGAUCCUGGUUGGUCUGUUCAACAUCGGACUUGGGCCAAAACAAGCAUUCACGAUUACCCCUUCUCUGGAGCUGGUGCUGUGUUCAUCAUAUCUGGAAUCAUGUGCCUUCUUGUCUGCUGGUUCCCCACUUAUUGCUUGGUAAGUAAAGACUAAAGGCCCUUUGAGCCAUGAACCGUUGAACGUGUUAUGGCUGAUUUAACAUGCUGGUUUCAUGUCUGAAUAAGCAGUUUAUAAUUCUGCCUUCCAGGAUCACUGUAAACUUUAUAUCUCAAUUAUCAUCAGUUGAAUAAACCAUGAAACACUAUGAAAUCAUCACUCAUUCAUUUUUUGCUACCACAAAAUGUUAAAUGAUGAAAUUGAUGUGAAUGUAUUUGUGGAUUCACUGCUAGAAGCGGGGGACGUUACCUCCAUCAAUGAUGCAGUGAAAUGUUAAUCAUGAUAAACGUCUGAUUAAAUGUACACGUCAAAAGAAUAAUGUUGCGUUUCCUCUCAGGUGGGCUUUUCUGUGUUUAUGAACAUCGUUGGAUCUGCCUUCGCCCUUAUUGGCAUUGUGCAGAAUACCACAAACGUGGCAUCCCAAAGCCACAUUUGGCGUGACGAGUUCAGUCCUGAUUAUUUAAAUAAAAACUUCCAAAAUGAAAUUUACAAAUUCCAGCGUUUCUUGACCAUUGACAUUACUCUGAUCAUCCUGGCUGUUCUGCAGCUGGCUGCCUGCUUCAGCUUUGUUAUUCUGGGCACCACGGCCGUGUUCACCAGGAAUAAGGAAGAGGAUGGCAAAGAUGUUGAAGCUCAGCAGCCACAGUUUAAGGAACUUUUCCUGACCAAUCCUGGUGCUUACAAUCAAUUCAACUAAACUCAUGGAAGCAUGACUAUGAAUUAUUGUAACCCCCCCCCACCCUCUAUCUGUUAAUGGGUUGAUUGUUUUUCUAUCUGCCGGUGAAUAUUUUUUCUUGCUUCACUAAAAACAUGUAAAGUAAAGAAAACAUAGUUCAUGGUCACACAUGAUUGAAGCAUGCUGUCUGUACAGGGAGAGAUUAAUGUGAAAUCUCUCAUUUCUGGCAAAAGGUUAUGGAGUAACCAGGAAAAUGUGAUUUGUGAUUAACAUUUGAAAAUCAAUUAAAGUUAUUGGUUUAUUUUA